AAGGAUUUAAGUUAAUUCAAACUAUCAGCCUUCAAAGCCGAAAAUAGAAAUUUUUCUAAGCCUUA
rnacentral:tRNA from 1 species